UCGCUAGUAAUCGCGAAUCAGAAUGUCGCGGUGAAUACGUUCCCGGGCCUUGUACACACCGCCCGUCACACCAUGGGAGUUGGAAGCACCCGAAGUCGGUGACCUGACCGAAAGGGAGGAACCGCCGAAGGUGAAGCCAGCGACUGGGGUGAAGUCGUAACAAGGUAGC
rnacentral:rRNA from 1 species